rnacentral:rRNA from 1 species
GGGCGUCUCUAUCUCAUCGCGAGAGGAGGCGCACCUAGAGCGUACACGCUGAUACCCGAAAGAUGGUGAACUAUGCCUGGCCAGGACGAAGCCAGGGGAAACCCUGGUGGAGGUCCGUAGCGAUUCUGACGUGCAAAUCGAUCGUCGGAGCUGGGUUUAGGGGCGAAAGACCAAUCGAACCAUCUAGUAGCUGGUUCCCUCUGAAGUUUCCCUCAGGAUAGCUUGCGCUCGGAAACAACGAGUCUCAUCCGGUAGAGCGAAUGAUUAGAGGCCUUGGGGUCGAAACGACCUCAACCUAUUCUCAAACUCCAAAUAGAUGAGAACCCCGGCUUUCUUGAACUCUGUUUAUGAAGCCGGGGGCUCGGAUCAGAGUGCCAAGUGGGCCAAUUUU